CCUACGGGAGGCAGCAGUGGGGAAUAUUGGACAAUGGGGGCAACCCUGAUCCAGCCAUGCCGCGUGUGUGAAGAAGGCCCUCGGGUUGUAAAGCACUUUCAGUGAGGAAGAACGCCUGGUGGUUAAUACCCAUCAGGAAAGACAUCACUCACAGAAGAAGCACCGGCUAACUCCGUGCCAGCAGCCGCGGUAAUACGGAGGGUGCGAGCGUUAAUCGGAAUUACUGGGCGUAAAGCGCGCGUAGGUGGCUUGAUAAGCCGGUUGUGAAAGCCCCGGGCUCAACCUGGGAACGGCAUCCGGAACUGUCAAGCUAGAGUGCAGGAGAGGAAGGUAGAAUUCCCGGUGUAGCGGUGAAAUGCGUAGAGAUCGGGAGGAAUACCAGUGGCGAAGGCGGCCUUCUGGACUGACACUGACACUGAGGUGCGAAAGCGUGGGUAGCAAACAGGAUUAGAUACCCCAGUUAGUC
rnacentral:rRNA from 1 species